rnacentral:ncRNA from 1 species
CCCUGACCCAUAAACACACAGUCUUGAUCCUGAACCUACCAUUGCCUGCACUCAAAUUCAUACAUGCAAGCCUCCACGCACCAGUGAGUUCGCUUAAAGAACUUGACCAAGCCACUUAAGCACGCAUCAGACACUUUAACAAAAUCACUGACGCCACGCUACGCCACACCUACACAGGUAAUCAGCAGUAACCAACAUUAGGCUAUAAGUGAAAACUCGACCUAGUUAUGAGCCCUAGAGCCGGUAAACCUCGUGCCAGCUACCGCGGUUAUACGAGCGGCCCAAGACAAUGCCCAAACGGCGUAAAGAUGACCAGAAUCCCAUCAAUAAAUUAAGGCGGAGACCCCCAACCAACUGUCUAACGUUCAACGGCCACCAAACCCCCCCACACCUUAAUGACUAGAACACUUCCAUCAUGAAAGCCGAGGCACAAACUAGGAUUAGACACCCUACUAUGCUCGGCCGUAACAUGGCACCACGCCCGCCCGACCAGUACGAGUGAAAACUUGAAACUCAAAGGACUUGACGGUGACCCACAUCAACCUAGAGGAGCCUGUCCAAUAAUCGAUGACCCACGCUAACACCUUACCACUUUUUGCCCAUCAGCCUAUAUACCGCCGUCGUCAGUUCGCCCCGCGAAGGUCCAACAGCGAGCAAAACAGUUCAUACACUAAAACGACAGGUCAACGCGUAGCUUACAAAGUGGAUUGAGAUGGGCUACAUUUUCUUCUACACAAAGAAAACACAGACAGCAUAUGAAACACAUGCCUUAAAGGUGGAUUUAGCAGUAAGAUGACCCAGAAUACUCAUCUGAACAAAGCCCUGGGACGCGCACACACCGCCCGUCACCCCCAUCAACACCCCCCCCAACCUAUUCAUAAAACCUCACAUCACCCAAAGAUGGGGAAAGUCGUAACACGGUAAGCGUACCGGAAGGUGCGCUUGAACAC